CCUACGGGCGGCAGCAGUGGGGAAUUUUGCGCAAUGCUCGUAAGAGUGACGCAGCGACGCCGCGUGAAUGACGAAGGCCUUCGGGUCGUAAAGUUCUUUCGACAGGGAAGAAAAUGCCUAUAAGUAACUGUGUAUGUAUUGACGGUACCUGUGUAAGCAGCACCGGCUAACUCCGUGUCAGCAGCAGCGGUAAUCCGGAGGGGGCGAGCGUUGUUCGGAGGGACUGGGCGUAAAGCGCACGUAGGCGGUGUUGUAAGUCAUUAGUCAAAGACUAGAGCUCAACUUUAGUAAGGCUAGUGAUACUAUAAUACUAGAGUAUCAGAGAGGAUUGCAGAAGUCCUGGUGUAGCGGUGAAACGCGUAGAUAUCAGGAGGAAUACCGUUAGCGAAGGCGGCAAUCUGGCUGGAAACUGACGCUGAGGUGCGAAAGCGUGGGUAGCAAACAGGAUUAGAUACCCUUGUAGUC
rnacentral:rRNA from 1 species